GACAGAGGGUGCUAGCGUUGUUCGGAAUUACUGGGCGUAAAGGGCGCGUAGGCGGCCUGGUCAGUCGGGUGUGAAAGCCCGGGGCUCAACCCCGGAACGGCACCCGAGACGGUCAGGCUGGAGACCGGGAGAGGAGGGUGGAAUAGCCAGUGUAGAGGUGAAAUUCGUAGAUAUUCGGAAGAACACCAGUGGCGAAGGCGACACACUGGCCCAUUACUGACGCUGAGGCUCGAAAGCGUGAGGAGCAAACAGG
rnacentral:rRNA from 1 species